GCAGGCUAGGAGAGGGGGCGCUGGGAGUAGGCGGGUGAUAAAGAAUGCUGGCCUCGGUGGGCACCCACAGUCCCUGCAGUUGGACUACCCUGCUCCCAGCUCCCAUAAAUAGUUUGGCUGAUACCUUGAGGACUAAAGAAGUGCAUGGUGGGGCACUAGUCCCAGUGGGGCUCCUCAUCUCCUGUCAUGACCCCCUCAGGGACUGGGACUGGUACUCUCUCAGGGACUGGGUUUCGAUUGUCCCUAAUCUUGUCGCAUGUUAGAGCACUUGCAUGUGCACAUUUGCGCCUUUCACUUGCUCCUCCGUAGUGGCAGAAAUCAGACCUCUGACUCCUGGGCCUUUACACCCAUCUAUAGGAGGAUGGCCAGACCUGGUUGGUGAAAUUGAAGUACCCCCACUCCCACUCAAGGCCAGUCCUCUAGGUAUGGGAGACCUGUCUGAGGAGGAACCUGGUAGGACUCCACAGCCUCCCAGAGGGCACAUCCUGCUCAGGUGACCUCAGCCAGGGUCUCACCUCCAAACCAGUCCAAACCCAAGGGACCUUUCAGAGGUUCCCCUAUCACCUUCCCCAAAGACGAGGCACAGCUGCAUUUGAAUCCUCUUCCAGUGCCGGCAAAUUACCUUCUGCAUUUAGCCUGAGUCGCUCAUACAGGAAAGUGCCCUCAGGCCCCAGACUCUGGGCCUGGCUGGGGAAACUAAUAAUGCCCAUGCCCAGGCAGGGGCAUUGGGAAUCUGGGGAACGGACCUUAGGGCCUUACAGAAUUUGUGUUUUUCCACCUUUUGAUCUGAUGAGCAGCUAAGAGAAGCCUCUCUUCUCCACUUCCCCAACCACGCUGGCUCCAAGUGCCCCCUAGGCCAGGCCCUUGAAGGAAAAAUCAAACCCUAAAUUUGAAGGUCACUGAAGCUGUCCCUCCACCCCCUGUCAAUUUACUAAGAGAGGGUUAGAGGAAAAGUAACCCCUUCACAACAACGUCCAGAGAUGUGUGUGUGGUCCUUGGUCAGGAACCAAAAUGGUUCUGAUUUCAAACCCAGGUCUACUCCAAGCCCCUGGCUCAUGAGGAUCUCUAGGUGACUUCUCUGUUCUCUGCCCUCUGCUCAUGCCAAUAUCAUUGAAGCAUAAUGGGGAAGCAGGUGCUCCCAGAAAGUGUAGUUUAGACUGUGUCCUCUCCUCCUCGCACUAUCUUUCUCUGUUCUACCCUUCAUCUACUUGUUCCUCCCCGUAUCACCCAUCCAUCCCUUCCUCCACCUCCACCCCAGCUCCCCGAGUCAAUAUUCAUAAAAAUAACUAAGUUGUCCAAAUGUGACCUGCAGCAUCCUGGGCGAUUCUUUCUUUCUGGCUGGUGCCUUGGGUCUCCUGGGCAGGCAGGUCCCUAUGUCCCCCAGUCCCCCAUCUUGGGGACAGCUUGGCGGGACCUCAACUCACCGUCCCCUGCUCAGCUGUGGAUGCCCUUCUGACUGCCCUCACCCCUCACUU
rnacentral:lncRNA from 1 species